UCAGGUUAAUAUUCCUGAACCACGUCGGAUGGUUUCUAUAGAAGGGACGGAGAAAGAUAGUCGAGCCGGAUAUUGGAUACCGGUUUAAGCCCGUAGGGAGACUCGUUAGGAGGCCUAGUGCCACAAACGGCGAGUCAAUCCUGAGAGGUGAUGAGGAGGGCGCUUGCGCCCAUAAACUCGAUGAUUCUCAGCUCUCGAGAAAAGCUUCGAUAGAGUCAACCGCUGAUGUGACCGUACCGCAAACCAACACAGGUGGGCGGGGAGAAUAUCCCAAGGCGCUUGAGAGAACCCUGCUUAAGGAACUCGCAAAAUGACACCGUAACUUCGGGAGAAGGUGUGCCCUCACUACGCGAUCCGCGAACGCGGGGAGCGGAAGGGGGUUGCAGAGAAUCGGGGGUAGCGACUGUUUAACAAAAACACAGCACUCUGCGAAGUCGCAAGACGACGUAUAGGGUGUGAUGCCUGCCCGGUGCUGGAAGGUUAAAGGGAGAACUCAGCCGCAAGGCAAAGGUUCGAACUGAAGCCCCAGUAAACGGCGGCCGUAACGAUAACGGUCCUAAGGUAGCGAAAUUCCUUGUCGGGUAAGUUCCGACCUGCACGAAUGGCAUAACGACUUCCCCACUGUCUCGAGCAGGGACUCAGCGAAGUAGCACUAGGGGUGAAGAUACCCUUUACCCACGGCAGGACGGAAAGACCCCGUGAACCUUCACUACAGCUUGACAUUGAUUGACGAAGUUGUUUCGUAGUCUAGGUGGGACGCUUUGAAGCGAGGACUCCGGUCUUUGUGGAGCGGCAAUAUGAAAAACCACCCUGAUAACUUUGGCAAUCUAACCUACACCCGUGAGCCGGGUGGGGGACACUGUCUGGUGGGUAGUUUGACUGGGGCGGUCGCCUCCCAAAAAGUAACGGAGGCGCGCGAAGUUCCCCUCAGCCUGAUUGGAAACCAGGCGCUGAGUGUAAACACAUAAGGGGGAUUGACUGCGAGUCCGACGAGACGAGCAGGUACGAAAGUAGGUGUUAGUGAUCCGGUGGCUCCACAUGGAAGGGCCAUCGCUCAACGGAUAAAAGGUACUCCGGGGAUAACAGGCUUAUCACGUCCAAGAGUUCACAUCGACGACGUGGUUUGGCACCUCGAUGUCGGCUCAUCGCAUCCUGGGGCUGAAAUCGGUCCCAGGGGUUUAGCUGUUCGCUAAUUAAAGCGGUACGCGAGCUGGGUUCAGAACGUCGUGAGACAGUUCGGUCCCUAUCCGCCGUGGGCGCAGGAUACUUGAGAGGAGCUGACUUUAGUACGAGAGGACCGAGUUGGACAGACCUAUGGUGUUCCGGUUAUGGCGCCAGCCGUAUCGCCGGGUAGCUAUGUCUGGAAGGGAUAACCGCUGAAAGCAUCUAAGCGGGAAGCCCACCUCAAGAUUAGGUAUCCCAAAUGCCGUCAAGGCACCAGAAGACCCCGCGUAGACUACGCGGUUGAUAGGCGCGGUGUGGAAAAGCAGCAAUGCUUGUAGCUAACGCGUACUAAUCGGUCGGGCGGCUUGACCAC
rnacentral:rRNA from 1 species